rnacentral:rRNA from 1 species
UACGAAGGGGGCUAGCGUUGUUCGGAUUUACUGGGCGUAAAGCGCACGUAGGCGGAUCGUUAAGUCGGGGGUGAAAUCCUGGAGCUCAACUCCAGAACUGCCUUCGAUACUGGCGAUCUUGAGUCCGGAAGAGGUGAGUGGAACUCCUAGUGUAGAGGUGGAAUUCGUAGAUAUUAGGAAGAACACCAGUGGCGAAGGCGGCUCACUGGUCCGGUACUGACGCUGAGGCGCGAAAGCCAGGGGAGCAAACGGG